GACGAACGCUGGCGGCGUGCUUAACACAUGCAAGUCGAACGGAAAGGCCCUGCUUUUGUGGGGUGCUCGAGUGGCGAACGGGUGAGUAACACGUGAGUAACCUGCCCUUGACUUUGGGAUAACUUCAGGAAACUGGGGCUAAUACCGGAUAGGAGCUCCUGCUGCAUGGUGGGGGUUGGAAAGUUUCGGCGGUUGGGGAUGGACUCGCGGCUUAUCAGCUUGAUGGUGGGGUAGUGGCUUAUCAAGGCUUUGACGGGUAGCCGGCCUGAGAGGGUGACCGGCCACAUUGGGACUGAGAUACGGCCCAGACUCCUACGGGAGGCAGCAGUGGGGAAUAUUGCACAAUGGGCGGAAGCCUGAUGCAGCAACGCCGCGUGCGGGAUGACGGCCUUCGGGUUGUAAACCGCUUUCGCCUGUGACGAAGCGUGAGUGACGGUAAUGGGUAAAGAAGCACCGGCUAACUACGUGCCAGCAGCCGCGGUGAUACGUAGGGUGCGAGCGUUGUCCGGAUUUAUUGGGCGUAAAGGGCUCGUAGGUGGUUGAUCGCGUCGGAAGUGUAAUCUUGGGGCUUAACCCUGAGCGUGCUUUCGAUACGGGUUGACUUGAGGAAGGUAGGGGAGAAUGGAAUUCCUGGUGGAGCGGUGGAAUGCGCAGAUAUCAGGAGGAACACCAGUGGCGAAGGCGGUUCUCUGGGCCUUUCCUGACGCUGAGGAGCGAAAGCGUGGGGAGCGAACAGGCUUAGAUACCCUGGUAGUCCACGCUGUAAACGGUGGGUACUAGGUGUGGGGUCCAUUCCACGGGUUCCGUGCCGUAGCUAACGCUUUAAGUACCCCGCCUGGGGAGUACGGCCGCAAGGCUAAAACUCAAAGGAAUUGACGGGGCCCCGCACAAGCGGCGGAGCAUGCGGAUUAAUUCGAUGCAACGCGUAGAACCUUACCUGGGUUUGACAUGGAUCGGGAGUGCUCAGAGAUGGGUGUGCCUCUUUUGGGGUCGGUUCACAGGUGGUGCAUGGCUGUCGUCAGCUCGUGUCGUGAGAUGUUGGGUUAAGUCCCGCAACGAGCGCAACCCUUGUUCACUGUUGCCAGCACGUUAUGGUGGGGACUCAGUGGAGACCGCCGGGGUCAACUCGGAGGAAGGUGGGGAUGACGUCAAGUCAUCAUGCCCCUUAUGUCCAGGGCUUCACGCAUGCUACAAUGGCUGGUACAGAGAGUGGCGAGCCUGUGAGGGUGAGCGAAUCUCGGAAAGCCGGUCUCAGUUCGGAUUGGGGUCUGCAACUCGACCUCAUGAAGUCGGAGUCGCUAGUAAUCGCAGAUCAGCAACGCUGCGGUGAAUACGUUCCCGGGGCU
rnacentral:rRNA from 1 species